AGUCGAGGGGCAGCAUGUCCAGCAAUGGAUGAUGGCGACCGGCGGAAGGGUGCGUAACGCGUGAGCAACAUGCCCUAUACAGGGAGAUACACCAGGGAAACUUGGUCUAAUAUCCCAUAGCAUUCAUUGAAGGCAUCUUUAAUGAAUUAAAGCUUCGGUGGUAUAGGAUUGGCUCGCGUGACAUUAGCCAGAUGGUGAGGUAACGGCUCACCAUAGCAAUGAUGUCUAGGGGUUUUGAGAGGAAGGCCCCCCACACUGAGACUGAGACACGGCCCAGACUCCUACGGGAGGCAGCAGUGAGGAAUAUUGGACAAUGGAUGGAAAUCUGAUCCAGCCAUGCCGCGUGCAGGAAGACGGCCUUAUGGGUUGUAAACUGCUUUUAUACGGGAGCAAUAAGGGUUACGAGUAAUCCGAUGAGAGUACUGUAUGAAUAAGGAUCGGCUAACUCCGUGCCAGCAGCCGCGGUAAUACGGAGGAUCCGAGCGUUAUCCGGAAUUAUUGGGUUUAAAGGGUGCGUAGGCGGCCAUUUAAGUCAGCGGUGAAAUUUUGCAGCUUAACUGUAACAGUGCCGUUGAUACUGUUUGGCUAGGAUUUGGUUGUAGUGUGCGGAAUGUGUGGUGUAGCGGUGAAAUGCUUAGAUAUCACACAGAACACCGAUUGCGAAGGCAGCACACUAAGUCAUUAUUGACGCUGAGGCACGAAAGUGUGGGGAUCAAACAGGAUUAGAUACCCUGGUAGUCCACACUGUAAACGAUGAUAACUCGCUGUCGGCG
rnacentral:rRNA from 1 species